CGGACGGGUGAGUAACGCGUGAGAAUCUGGCUUCAGGUCUGGGACAACCACUGGAAACGGUGGCUAAUACCGGAUGUGCCGAGAGGUGAAAGGUUAACUGCCUGAAGAUGAGCUCGCGUCUGAUUAGCUAGUUGGUAGUGUAAUGGACUACCAAGGCGACGAUCAGUAACUGGUCUGAGAGGACGAUCAGCCACACUGGGACUGAGACACGGCCCAGACUCCUACGGGAGGCAGCAGUGGGGAAUUUUCCGCAAUGGGCGAAAGCCUGACGGAGCAAUACCGCGUGAGGGAGGAAGGCUCUUGGGUCGUAAACCUCUUUUCUCAGGGAAGAACACAAUGACGGUACCUGAGGAAUAAGCAUCGGCUAACUCCGUGCCAGCAGCCGCGGUAAUACGGAGGAUGCAAGCGUUAUCCGGAAUGAUUGGGCGUAAAGCGUCCGCAGGUGGCGAUGUAAGUCUGCUGUUAAAGCGUCUAGCUCAACUAGAUAAGAGCAGUGGAAACUACAUAGCUAGAGUGCGUUCGGGGCAGAGGGAAUUCCUGGUGUAGCGGUGAAAUGCGUAGAGAUCAGGAAGAACACCAGUGGCGAAGGCGCUCUGCUAGGCCGCAACUGACACUGAGGGACGAAAGCUAGGGGAGCGAAUGGGAUUAGAUACCCCAGUAGUC
rnacentral:rRNA from 1 species